UGGAUUGCAGUUCCAUGGAAAAGAUGUCAAACCUAUCGAAAUUGAGAAAGCUAAGGAAGCUAAGAGUAGGAGAAUGUCCAAAGUUAAGAAGCUUGGAAGGUCUAAAUCACUUGGAAUCUUUACAGAAGUUGUGGAUUCAUGAUUGCUGCUCGUUGGAGAGUUUGGCUGACACCUCAAAUUUGCGUUUAGAAUGUUCCACAAUUGAACAUUGUGAGCAGUUGCCCAACCGUAACAAUUACUGCAGAUGUCAUGACAACAGAGAUUCAGAUACUGAACCUAACCAUGCCAAGUAUUUUUGAGCCGGUUACACUAAGCCCGACCUGACGAAAGUCCGUUGAAGUCGGAUGGUCUGAAGAAGGUUUUCCCAUGACAAUAUUGGGAACAAGUACGACCCAUUAAGAUUGAAAGCCAAUUUGAAGAUGAGAUGAUGUAGAGAGAAGUACGUUGAGAAGAUUGGCCCAAUGACCUCGACCAAGAAUGACCAGAAUUCAGUGACUUUCACCCCAUUCUCUUUUUGCUAUCGUAAGUAGAUUUGAAUUUUACGUGUCAUAACCAUAUUCUCGUCAUUGGGUGAAUACGACCUUGUUAUAACCAUGGAGUUUCCGUCCAGCAUGUUCUCGCGUAGCAUCUGCAUUUCCUAAAACUUUCCAUUUCCUGGUAAUCAGUCUCGGUUCUGUUUUCUUCUUAAUUUGGAUAUGAAGCAGAGGCCCAGGGCUCUAGCUCCAGCCUGUGUGAAAAUCGGCUGCCAUUGAGGCUCUAUUAAUUAUCUGAACUUGCUGCGCUGCCUUUGUGGUAA